rnacentral:rRNA from 1 species
AUGGCGUCCGUGACUGCAGAAAUUACUUGGCUACGGUGGCUUCUUCAAGAUUUUGGUGUUUCCACUGCUGCACCGACCCCUCUGCUCUCCGACAGCACUGGGGCACUCAGCAUUGCCCAUGAUCCUGUUAAGCAUGAGCUCACCAAGCACAUCGGUGUUGAUGCCUCCUACACGCGUUCUCAGGUGCAAGACAGAAUUGUGGCCCCUCAGUAUGUGCCCUCGAAGCUUCAGCUUGCUGAUUUUCUGACGAAAGCUCAGACACGGUCCCAACACAACCUUUUCCUGUCCAAACUCGGUGUCCAAGAUCCCCCUUGA